UCUUAUCAAGAGUGGUGGAGGGACUGGCCCAAUGAAACCCAGCAACCUGUAUAAACAAGGUGCUAAAUCCAGCGGUGUAAAUACCGAGAGAUGAGG
rnacentral:ncRNA from 1 species